ACGGAGAUUCAGCAAUGGAUCUUAGUGGCGAACGGGUGAGUAACGCGUAGGCAAUCUGCCUUCUAGAUGGGGACAACAUCCCGAAAGGGGUGCUAAUACCGAAUGUUGUAGUUGGUCUGCAUGGACUAGCUACUAAAGGUGGCCUCUGAAUAUGCUACCGCUAGAAGAUGAGCCUGCGUCUGAUUAGCUAGUUGGAGGGGUAACGGCCCACCAAGGCAACGAUCAGUAGCCGGUCUGAGAGGAUGAACGGCCACACUGGGACUGAGACACGGCCCAGACUCCUACGGGAGGCAGCAGUGGGGAAUCUUCCGCAAUGGACGAAAGUCUGACGGAGCAACGCCGCGUGAGUGAAGAAGGUUUUCGGAUCGUAAAGCUCUUUCGUUAGGGACGAACGUGCUCUUUGUGAAUAAUGAGGAGUAAUGACGGUACCUAAAUAAGAAGCCACGGCUAACUACGUGCCAGCAGCCGCGGUAAUACGUAGGUGGCAAGCGUUGUCCGGAAUUAUUGGGCGUAAAGCGCGCGCAGGCGGGAUAUCAAGUCUGUCUUAAAAGUGCGAGGCUCAACCUCGUGAGGGGACAGAAACUGGUAUUCUUGAGUGUCGGAGAGGAAAGUGGAAUUCCAAGUGUAGCGGUGAAAUGCGUAGAGAUUUGGAAGAACACCAGUGGCGAAGGCGACUUUCUGGACGAUGUCUGACGCUGAGGCGCGAAAGCUAGGGGAGCGAACGGGAUUAGAUACCCCGGUAGUC
rnacentral:rRNA from 1 species